AUUUAUUGACUAAUAUCACGAUAAAUUAUAGCUAAUACAUUGACUAGAUAGGAUAUAAGCCAUUUUGUUGAAAAUUUUACAUUUCUGCGUUUCAUUAUGACGUCACAAGUUUUACUCAUAUUGAUUUUUCACGAAAAAAUCAAUGAAAAUGGGUAAAUUUCCAAAGAUUAUUUGACAGGAAACAUAGAGCGCAUACGUCGA
rnacentral:lncRNA from 1 species